rnacentral:tRNA from 1 species
GGGCCGGUAGCUCAGUGGUUAGAGCAGGCGACUCAUAAUCGCUCGGUCGUGAGUUCGAUUCUCACCCGGCCCACGA